UACGUAGGUGGCGAGCGUUGUCCGGAUUUACUGGGCGUAAAGGGAGCGUAGGCGGACUUUUAAGUGAGAUGUGAAAUACCCGGGCUCAACUUGGGUGCUGCAUUUCAAACUGGAAGUCUAGAGUGCAGGAGAGGAGAAUGGAAUUCCUAGUGUAGCGGUGAAAUGCAUUGAUAUCAUGUGGAACACCGGAGGCGAAGGCGAGUCACUGGAACGGAUCUGACGCUGAGGCACGAAAGCGUGGGGAGCAAACAGGAUUAGA
rnacentral:rRNA from 1 species